rnacentral:rRNA from 1 species
GACGAACGCUGGCGGCGUGCCUAAUACAUGCAAGUAGAACGCUGAAGAGAGGAGCUUGCUCUUCUUGGAUGAGUUGCGAACGGGUGAGUAACGCGUAGGUAACCUGCCUUGUAGCGGGGGAUAACUAUUGGAAACGAUAGCUAAUACCGCAUAACAAUGGAUGACACAUGUCAUUUAUUUGAAAGGGGCAAUUGCUCCACUACAAGAUGGACCUGCGUUGUAUUAGCUAGUAGGUGAGGUAAUGGCUCACCUAGGCGACGAUACAUAGCCGACCUGAGAGGGUGAUCGGCCACACUGGGACUGAGACACGGCCCAGACUCCUACGGGAGGCAGCAGUAGGGAAUCUUCGGCAAUGGGGGCAACCCUGACCGGGCAACGCCGCGUGAGUGAAGAAGGGUUUCGGAUCGUAAAGCUCGGUUGUAAGUCAAGAACGGGUGUGAGAGUGGAAAGUUCACACUGUGACGGUAGCUGACCAGAAAGGGACGGCUAACUACGUG